rnacentral:snRNA from 1 species
CAUAAUAAUAGUUGUAAUUUGGUAAAAUUGGAACGAUACAGAGAAGAUUAGCAUGGUCCCUGCGUAAGGAUGACACGCAUAAAUCAAGAAAUAGUCCAAAUUUUU